CCUACGGGAGGCAGCAGUGGGGAAUAUUGGACAAUGGGCGAAAGCCUGAUCCAGCCAUGCCGCGUGUGUGAAGAAGGCCUUCUGGUUGUAAAGCACUUUCAGUGGGGAAGAAAGCCUUGGGGCUAAUACCCUCGAGGAAGGACAUCACCCACAGAAGAAGCACCGGCUAACUCCGUGCCAGCAGCCGCGGUAAUACGGAGGGUGCGAGCGUUAAUCGGAAUUACUGGGCGUAAAGCGCGCGUAGGCGGUCUGAUAAGCCGGUUGUGAAAGCCCCGGGCUCAACCUGGGAACGGCAUCCGGAACUGUCAGGCUAGAGUGCAGGAGAGGAAGGUAGAAUUCCCGGUGUAGCGGUGAAAUGCGUAGAGAUCGGGAGGAAUACCAGUGGCGAAGGCGGCCUUCUGGACUGACACUGACGCUGAGGUGCGAAAGCGUGGGUAGCAAACAGGAUUAGAUACCCGAGUAGUC
rnacentral:rRNA from 1 species